rnacentral:rRNA from 1 species
UACGUAGGGUGCAAGCGUUAAUCGGAAUUACUGGGCGUAAAGCGUGCGCAGGCGGUUUUGCAAGACAGAUGUGAAAUCCCCGGGCUUAACCUGGGAACUGCAUUUGUGACUGCAAGGCUAGAGUGCGUCAGAGGGAGGUGGAAUUCCGCGUGUAGCAGUGAAAUGCGUAGAGAUGCGGAGGAACACCGAUGGCGAAGGCAGCCUCCUGGGAUAACACUGACGCUCAUGCACGAAAGCGUGGGGAGCAAACAGG